rnacentral:rRNA from 1 species
GACGAACCGUGCGAACGUUGUUCGGAAUCACUGGGCUUAAAGGGCGCGUAGGCGGGCCGCCAAGUCCGCGGUGAAAUCCCCCGGCUCAACUGGGGAACUGCCGCGGAUACUGGAGGUCUCGAGGGGGGUAGGGGCAUGCGGAACUGCGGGUGGAGCGGUGAAAUGCGUUGAUAUCCGCAGGAACUCCGGUGGCGAAGGCGGCGUGCUGGACCCCUUCUGACGCUGAGGCGCGAAAGCCAGGGGAGCGAACGGG